AGUGAACGCUGGCGGUAUGCCUAACACAUGCAAGUCGAACGGCCGCACAGUAAGAGCUCGCUCUUACGGGUGGCGAGUGGCGGACGGGUAAGGAAUAGAUCGGAAUCUACUUUUUCGUGGGGGAUAACGUAGGGAAACUUACGCUAAUACCGCAUACGACCUACGGGUGAAAGCAGGGGAGCUUGGGACCUUGCGCGAUUGAAUGAGACCAUGUCGGGUUAGCUAGUUGGUAAGGUAAAGGCUCACCAAGGCGACGAUGCGUAGCCGAGCUGAGAGGGUGAUCGGCCACACUGGAACUGAGACACGGUCCAGACUCCUAAGGGAGGCAGCAGUAGGGAAUCUUCCGCAAUGGGCGAAAGCCUGACGGAGCAACGCCGCGUGAGUGAUGAAGGUCUUCGGAUCGUAAAACUCUGUUAUUAGGGAAGAACAAAUGUGUAAGUAACUAUGCACGUCUUGACGGUACCUAAUCAGAAAGCCACGGCUAACUACGUG
rnacentral:rRNA from 1 species